CGGACGGGUGAGUAAUGUCUGGGAAACUGCCCGAUGGAGGGGGAUAACUACUGGAAACGGUAGCUAAUACCGCACAACGUCGCAAGACCAAAGAGGGGACCUUCGGGCCUCUUGCCAUCGGAUGUGCCCAGAUGGGAUUAGCUAGUAGGUGGGGUAACGGCUCACCUAGGCGACGAUCCCUAGCUGGUCUGAGAGGAUGACCAGCCACACUGGAACUGAGACACGGUCCAG
rnacentral:rRNA from 1 species